GACCGGAUGGCGUAGUGGUCAGCGCAUCUGCCUAGUAAGCAGAAGACCUGGGUUCGAAUCAUGGUCCGGCACA